rnacentral:sRNA from 1 species
GCUGGGCGCAGUGGUGCAUGCCUGUAAUCCCAGCAGCUCUGGAGGCUGAGGCGGGAGGACCACAAAUUCAAAGCCAGCCUCAGCAACAAUGAGGCACCAAGCAACUCAGUGAGACCCUGUCUCUA